rnacentral:rRNA from 1 species
AUACGUAGGGUGCAAGCGUUAAUCGGAAUUACUGGGCGUAAAGCGUGCGCAGGCGGUUUUGUAAGACAGAGGUGAAAUCCCCGGGCUCAACCUGGGAACUGCCUUUGUGACUGCCAGGCUAGAGUACGGCAGAAGGGGAUGGAAUUCCGCGUGUAGCAGUGAAAUGCGUAGAUAUGCGGAGGAACACCGAUGGCGAAGGCAAUCCCCUGGGCCUGUACUGACGCUCAUGCACGAAAGCGUGGGGAGCAAACAGGAUUAGAUACCCUGGUAGUCCACGCCCUAAACGAUGUCAACUGGUUGUUGGGUCUUCAUUGACUCAGUAACGAAGCUAACGCGUGAAGUUGACCGCCUGGGGAGUACGGCCGCAAGGUUGAAACUCAAAUGAAUUGACGGGG